AAUUCCCUCUUAUGCCUAACGUCUGAGUCAACCCUAACCCAAAAAGUUCACUCUCCCUCGCAAACUCUCUCUGAAACUUCAGCUCCCUCUCAAACUCUAGCCCUAAUUACUUCUAACUCCCUCUCAAUUUUUUCACUCCCUCUAAAACUGUACCCUAAAACUUCAUCUCCUGAAAAAAUCUCUCCUUCAGUCCCUCGGAAACUCUCUCUUUCUUCUCUCUCCUCCAUCAUUGCCCCAUUCCUACUAAAACCAUCAGAUGCUCAACCAUUACGAUUCAUCAUGAGAAUCAUUCUUCCAUUCGACGAUUCUCAAGCCAGCUCACACAAUUUCUCAAGCCCAGAUGCUCAGACGGAAGUUUAAGUCGACAAUUGUGUGAUUUCAUCUAUUAGUGAAGCAUUUCCCUUUCCCCAAAAGUUAGGGUUUUGAUCACACCCCACACCUCCUCUUCUGGUAUGCUGACAUACAAACUUGCUGUUUUUCAUUUAAAACAAUGAUUUUUUGGGAUAAAUAUGACAUAUAAACUUCUGGAAAGGCAAAGUAAAGUACAUGUAAAUAUCAUUACAAAACAGGCCGUAAAGGGUAUCUUGGAGUGGCCAAAAACUUGUAUGAGAAGAAUGUAGUGGAGAAGGGUGAGGAAAUUGAUAGAGCUCUUCUAUGGAAGUAUGCACGUGAAGAUAAAAAUGGGUAUAUAGUUGAUGAGGAGGUAGCUUUAAUGGCUGAAAAGAUUGAUAACUUGAUAAAGGAGAAAAAAGAAGGCACUUUAACCAUUUCUGGGAAUAAUGAUGUUUUGUCAAUGGCUUUAGGGACCCCUGAACAUGCUGGAAGGGUGUGGGGUGUGGGAGGCAAUGUGAAGCCAAAUACAUAUUUCAAAGUUCCUAAGAAGAAGAGCGAGUGUGUCUCGAAGAUAAUGUUGGAACAACGAGAUUCUUUGAUAAUGGAGACAAGAAAGAUGAUGGAAGAGCAACAAAAAAGGCAUGAAGCUGCACAACAAGUUCUUCAAAACCAAAUCGAGAUGCUAAAGGUGGUGAUUAACACUCAAGUUCCUAAUAACACAUCUCUCCAAUCCCCAAAUGUACAUCCAUCUCCCAUGUUAUCCGAGAAAGCAUUAACAAACAUACAGAGAAAAUUUGAGGAUGAUGAAAAACAAAUUUGUGAUGAAGAAGGUUGUGAGGAUGUGGUGGAGCAAACUGAAAUUGGGGUUAUGAAGGGGAAAGAAUGCAAAAUGGCUUUCGCUCAAAGGCAAAUAUUGUUGCAAGUGGCACAAUAGUUAAGAUUAAUGUGCCAAACCAGCUAGUUCAUAAUGUUCCUUAGGGGGUGGGGAACAUAAGAGUAGCUGUGAAUUGUGCACUAAUGAGAGAUUCUCCACUACCAAUCCCUGUGAAAGGAGUGUUAGAAACUGUUGGGGAUGCCAUUGGGUCGCAAGUAGCUUGGCCUCAAGAUCUUAUUGUCUUUGAUGAUAAAGUGAAGAAGAGGGAAAAUACAAAGGAAAAAUUAGCAAAGUCUUUAUUCAAGUCGAUAUCACAAACAAUGCCAAAGUCUUGCAAGGUUUUAUAUGCACACGCACAUCAAGUGAUGUCCAAAGUCAGACUAUCUCCACAAAUAUUGAUGAGGACAUAUUUGGUGUACAAAAGAUUGUAUACAUCUUUCAAGAACAUGUUAUCGCGUUCGCUGAAAUGAGAGAAAUAGGACAAACUAUAAUCACUGCUUAUAUUAGCUAUUUGUUUCGCUUGGUAAAAGGCCAACAAAGGGAUCAAGUGAUUGGAUUUAUGGACCCAGCGUGUACUGCACAUGAUCGAAGAGAUGGGAAUUUGAGGUCGGAAUACAUUACGAAAUGUUUGAGACUAAUGAGCAUUGACGGUAUCUUUUUGAUUCCAUAUAAUCCUGGGUAAGUAAAGUGGUUUGUUUUUUCACAAGGAAUGUUUGACUAUUACUAAUAUAUUUUGAAUUAACAUUGGGGGACAUUGGAUCCUAACAAUAAUUGAUGAGGACAAAGAUAAUGUGUGUGUCAUGGAUACUCUUGGGGCUUAUCACCCUCAUGAAGCGUGGAAAAUUGUUGUAAAUGAUGGGAUAAAAACUUUCAAUGCACAAAUUGGGAGACGACCUCGUAAAUUACCGACAUGGAUUAUGCUUUCGGGAUGGCAAGUCAUGUGGGUAUUUCGUGAUGAGAUACAUGAAGGAUAUUUGUGAAGAUUCCUCCCUUGAAUUUCGAAAUAAGUAUAGAGCUAGACGGAAGGACAUGUACACCCAAAUGGAAUUGGAUGAGGUGCGAGAAGAAUUAGCAACUCAUGUCCUAGAAUGGCUUUUUUGCUUAAGCUAAACAUUCCUUCAUUUUACAUGUGAUUUCGCCUAUACAUAGACAAGUAUGGAUAAUUUGUGGUGUAGGGCUGAAAAAAUUGUGAUUUGGAUGUGACAAGUAUGGAUCAUUCAAUUAUUUUGCUUAUAUAUAUAUAUAUAUGGACAA